ACACAUGCAAGUCGAGCGGAGACAGUGAGUAGCUUGCUAUGAGCUGUUUUAGCGGCGGACGGGUGAGUAACGCGUGAGCAACCUUUCCCAGACAGGGGAAUAACACACCGAAAGGUGUACUAAUACCGCAUAAGACCACGGGAUCACAUGGUUCUGGGGUAAAAGAUUUAUCGGUUUGGGGUGGGCUCGCGUCCGAUUAGGUAGUUGGUGAGGUAACGGCCCACCAAGCCGACGAUCGGUAGCCGACCUGAGAGGGUGAUCGGCCACAUUGGGACUGAGACACGGCCCAAACUCCUACGGGAGGCAGCAGUGGGGAAUAUUGGGCAAUGGGGGGAACCCUGACCCAGCAACGCCGCGUGGAGGAAGAAGGUUUUCGGAUCGUAAACUCCUGUCCUUGGAGACGAGUAGAAGACGGUAUCCAAGGAGGAAGCCCCGGCUAACUACGUGCCAGCAGCCGCGGUAAUACGUAGGGGGCAAGCGUUGUCCGGAAUAAUUGGGCGUAAAGGGCGCGUAGGCGGCUCGGUAAGUCUGGGGUGAAAGUCCUGCUUUUAAGGUGGGAAUUGCUUUGGAUACUGUCGGGCUUGAGUGCAGGAGAGGUUAGUGGAAUUCCCAGUGUAGCGGUGAAAUGCGUAGAGAUUGGGAGGAACACCAGUGGCGAAGGCGACUAACUGGACUGUAACUGACGCUGAGGCGCGAAAGUGUGGGGAGCAAACAGGAUUAGAUACCCUGGUAGUCCACACUGUAAACGAUGAAUGCUAGGUGUAGGGGGUAUCGACCCCUUCUGUGCCGCAGUCAACA
rnacentral:rRNA from 1 species